rnacentral:rRNA from 1 species
CCUACGGGAGGCAGCAGUAGGGAAUAUUGCACAAUGGGGGGAACCCUGAUGCAGCGACGCCGCGUGGGUGAAGGAGUACUUCGGUAUGUAAAGCCCUAUCAGCAGGGAAGAACAAGGAUGGUCACAGACUACGAAGCAUCGGCGAAAUACGUGCCAGCAGCCGCGGUAAUACGUAGGGUGCCAGCGUGAUCCGUAUUUACUGGGUGUGAAGGGUGCGGAGGCGGCCCGUUAAACCUGGUGUGAAAGCCCGCGGCCCAACCGCUGGAGUGCAUGGGGAACUGGGCGGCUGGAGUGCCGGAGAGGUAGGCGGAAUUCCGAGUGUAGCGGUGAAAUGCGUAGAUAUUAGGAAGAACACCAGUGGCGAAGGCGGCCUACUGGACGGUGACUGACGCUGAGGCUCGAAAGCGUGGGGAGCAAACAGGAUUAGAUACCCGUGUAGUC